UACGUAGGGUGCAAGCGUUGUCCGGAAUUAUUGGGCGUAAAGAGCUCGUAGGCGGUUUGUCACGUCGGAUGUGAAAACCCGAGGCUUAGCCUCGGGCCUGCAUUCGAUACGGGCUGACUAGAGUUCGGUAGGGGAGACUGGAAUUCCUGGUGUAGCGGUGAAAUGCGCAGAUAUCAGGAGGAACACCGGUGGCGAAGGCGGGUCUCUGGGCCGAUACUGACGCUGAGGAGCGAAAGCGUGGGGAGCGAACAGG
rnacentral:rRNA from 1 species